GGCGACUGGCUCCGUAGGCCCUCAG
rnacentral:miRNA from 1 species